rnacentral:rRNA from 1 species
UACGUAGGGCGCGAGCGUUGUCCGGAUUUAUUGGGCGUAAAGAGCGCGUAGGCGGCUCGUUGCGUCGGCUGUGAAAACCCGCAGCUCAACUGUGGGCUUGCAGCCGAUACGGGCGGGCUGGGAUUCGGUAGGGGAGACUGGAAUUCCUGGUGUAGCGGUGAAAUGCGCAGAUAUCAGGAGGAACACCGGUGGCGAAGGCGGGUCUCUGGGCCGAUAUCGACGCUGAGGAGCGAAAGCGUGGGGAGCGAACAGG